CCAAUACCUCGAACCCCAUUUCCCUCGCAACAAUACACCUUUGGCACUUCACUAAUUGUUACUAGAACCAUUAUUCCAUACUCCAUAGUGUGCAAUUCAAUUUUAACACGAAACAAAAAUGGCGGAUGAAGGCACAGGCACGGCCACAUGCAUUGACAUCCUCCUUGCCAUCAUUCUUCCUCCACUUGGAGUCUUCCUCAAGUUUGGUUGCAAGGCGGAGUUCUGGAUCUGUUUGUUGCUGACUAUUUUGGGUUAUUUACCUGGAAUUAUCUAUGCUGUCUAUGCUAUCACCAAAAAGAAUAAGUGAUCACCACCAUGCUUUGGUGGGCCUAGGACAUGCUGUCGUGUCUUUUCUUCCUUUACAACAGUUUCAUAUUUAGUGGGAAAAAUAUAUAUUGAUUUUCCCCAUUUAGUGUUUCAUACUUUCAUUGUAAUUCCAUUUUCUUAUGUUUUUGAUGUUCCUCUGUUAUUAGUACGUGUGAGUGGAGUGUGCAGCUUUUAGUUUAUAGAUUUUGUACCAUAUGUAAUCAAGAAUUGAAAUACAGGACUUGUACAUGUAUUCUGUAAUAAUAGCUUGAUUUAUUCUUAUAGCUAUAUUCUUAUUUA